CCUACGGGAGGCAGCAGUGAGGAAUAUUGGUCAAUGGACGAGAGUCUGAACCAGCCAAGUAGCGUGAAGGAUGACUGCCCUAUGGGUUGUAAACUUCUUUUAUAUGGGAAUAAAACAGGUGAUGCAUACACUCUUGUAUGUACCAUAUGAAUAAGGAUCGGCUAACUCCGUGCCAGCAGCAGCGGUAAUACGGAGUGUCCGAUCGUUAUCCGGAUUUAUUGGGUUUAAAGGGAGCGUAGGGGGUUUGUUAAGUCAGUUGUGAAAUUUUGCGGCUCAACGGGAAAAUUGCAGUUGAAACUGGCAGUCGUGAGUACGGUAGAGGUGGGCGGAAUUCGUGGUGUAGCGGUGAAAUGCUUAGAUAUCACGAAGAACACCGAUUGCGAAGGCAGCUCACUGGACUGUAACUGACACUGAUGCUCGAAAGUGUGGGUAUCAAACAGGAUUAGAUACCCCAGUAGUC
rnacentral:rRNA from 1 species